UUAGUUUAUAAAAAACAAAUGACUURCAUUCAUUAAAACUCUAGCGAAGCUAGCAAACUAAU
rnacentral:tRNA from 1 species